rnacentral:rRNA from 1 species
AAUGAACGCUGGCGGCAGGCCUAACACAUGCAAGUCGAGCGGAUGAGAGGAGCUUGCUCCUUGAUUUAGCGGCGGACGGGUGAGUAAUGCCUAGGAAUCUGCCUGGUAGUGGGGGAUAACGUUCCGAAAGGAACGCUAAUACCGCAUACGUCCUACGGGAGAAAGCAGGGGACCUUCGGGCCUUGCGCUAUCAGAUGAGCCUAGGUCGGAUUAGCUAGUUGGUGAGGUAAUGGCUCACCAAGGCGACGAUCCGUAACUGGUCUGAGAGGAUGAUCAGUCACACUGGAACUGAGACACGGUCCAGACUCCUACGGGAGGCAGCAGUGGGGAAUAUUGGACAAUGGGCGAAAGCCUGAUCCAGCCAUGCCGCGUGUGUGAAGAAGGUCUUCGGAUUGUAAAGCACUUUAAGUUGGGAGGAAGGGCAGUAAGCUAAUACCUUGCUGUUUUGACGUUACCGACAGAAUAAGCACCGGCUAACUUCGUG